UCUCCUGGAAAACGGGUGGUAAUGCCGGAUGUUCCACAUGAUCGCAUGUGAUUGUGGGAAAGAUUCUAUCGGCGUGGGAUGGGGUCGCGUCCUAUCAGCUUGUUGGUGAGGUAACGGCUCACCAAGGCUUCGACGGGUAGCCGGCCUGAGAGGGCGACCGGCCACAUUGGGACUGAGAUACGGCCCAGACUCCUACGGGAGGCAGCAGUGGGGAAUAUUGCACAAUGGGCGCAAGCCUGAUGCAGCGACGCCGCGUGAGGGAUGGAGGCCUUCGGGUUGUAAACCUCUUUUGUUUGGGAGCAAGCCUUCGGGUGAGUGUACCUUUCGAAUAAGCGCCGGCUAACUACGUGCCAGCAGCCGCGGUAAUACGUAGGGCGCAAGCGUUAUCCGGAUUUAUUGGGCGUAAAGGGCUCGUAGGCGGCUCGUCGCGUCCGGUGUGAAAGUCCAUCGCUUAACGGUGGAUCUGCGCCGGGUACGGGCGGGCUGGAGUGCGGUAGGGGAGACUGGAAUUCCCGGUGUAACGGUGGAAUGUGUAGAUAUCGGGAAGAAC
rnacentral:rRNA from 1 species